ensembl:snRNA U6 U6 spliceosomal RNA
AUGCUCGCUGCAGCAGUACAUAUACUAAAAUUGGAAUGAUACAGAAAAGAUUAGCAACCCUGAGCAUGAAUGACACACAAAUUCAUGAAUCAUUCCAUAUUUUU